rnacentral:rRNA from 1 species
UACGUAGGGUGCGAGCGUUAAUCGGAAUUACUGGGCGUAAAGUGUGCGCAGGCGGCGCCGCAAGUCGAGUGUGAAAGCCCCGGGCUUAACUUGGGAAUUGCGCUCGAAACUAUGGUGCUGGAGUGUGGCAGAGGAAGGUGGAAUUCCACGUGUAGCGGUGAAAUGCGUAGAGAUGUGGAGGAACACCGAUGGCGAAGGCAGCCUUCUGGGCCAACACUGACGCUCAUGCACGAAAGCGUGGGAGCAAACAGG